CCCAGCCAGGGCCGUCCUAUAAAACAUGCACUCAGGCCCUCGCAGAGGAGACGUUCCCAUCAGGAAACCUUCACUUCCAACCAUGUUCAGUGUAGUUGUGCUGCUGCUGGCCGCUGUUUCCAGUGCCAAGUGUGAACAGUUGACCCAGCCGGCCGAUCUGACUCUGCGGUCUGGUGAGGAGAUGAACAUCGCCUGUCAGGUGUCUUAUAGUUUGAGCAGCUACUACACUGCUUGGGUCAGGCAGCCUGCUGGGAAAGGACUGGAAUGGAUCGGGAUCAGACUGGUCGGAUCUGGUAAUUAUUACCGCAAGGAGUCCCUGAAAACCAAGUUCAGUAUUGAACUAAACCCCUCCAGCCAAACAGUAACCCUAAACGGAAAGAAUAUGCAGCCCGAAGACUCGGCUGUGUAUUAUUGCGCCAGACACCCACAACAACACAAACCGUCGGCGCACUUCAACAAAAAUAAAAAAGGAGGAGGAUCCCUCAUCCCUCUCACAAUCGUACAUGAAGCAUGCAACUGAUGACUCAAGUGUUGU